rfam:Stegodyphus mimosarum contig90035, whole genome shotgun sequence.
GCCUUCAUGGUGUAGUGGUCAGCACACUUGGCGCGUAUUCGAGAGGUCCGUGGUUCGAGUCCCUGUGAGGGCA